UAGACCGCCUGGGGAGUACGGCCGCAAGGUUAAAACUCAAAUGAAUUGACGGGGGCCCGCACAAGCGGUGGAGCAUGUGGUUUAAUUCGAUGCAACGCGAAGAACCUUACCUGGUCUUGACAUCCACGGAAGUUUUCAGAGAUGAGAAUGUGCCUUCGGGAACCGUGAGACAGGUGCUGCAUGGCUGUCGUCAGCUCGUGUUGUGAAAUGUUGGGUUAAGUCCCGCAACGAGCGCAACCCUUAUCCUUUGUUGCCAGCGAUUAGGUCGGGAACUCAAAGGAGACUGCCAGU
rnacentral:rRNA from 8 species